GGGGUUGUGGUUCAGUGGUAGAGCACUCGCCUAGCAUGUGUGAAUCCCUGGGUUCGAUCCUCAGCACCA
rnacentral:tRNA from 1 species